rnacentral:rRNA from 1 species
GACGAACCGUGCGAACGUUGUUCGGAAUCACUGGGCUUAAAGGGCGCGUAGGCGGGCGGUCAAGUCAGAGGUGAAAUCCCACGGCUCAACCGUGGAAGUGCCCCUGAUACUGAUCGCCUCGAGGGAGGUAGGGCGUGCGGAACUUCCGGUGGAGCGGUGAAAUGCGUAGAUAUCGGAAGGAACACCGAUGGCGAAAGCAGCGCGCUGGACCACAACUGACGCUGAGGCGCGAAAGCUAGGGGAGCAAACAGG